UGCCCUUUGUUGGUUGCUCAGGCUUUGCAAGGCUCCCAUGUGUGCGGCAACUCUUGUCCUCCACAAGUACUAAGCUCUCUCUGAGCAGAGAGCACCAGCCACAUCCUGCAGCAAGAUUAUUUGCCUGAAAUGUAGCAACCUGGCUGAUGGUAACACAAGGAAGUGCUGGCGCAGCCUGCGGCCAGACACUGGCCUGCUUUGAGCAGCCAGGCAGACAGAAAAUUUGCCUUUGAAGGGUAAGAUGAACGUAGCUAAUGACAUACUGAUGUAGUGCCCACGGCUUCUCAGCAUCUUGAGCUUGAAAGCCUUUGCAUGACCAUGCCUUCAAAGCAGAGACAUGCUACACAAUGACAACUCAAAAGAAUUAUAAAACCACAUUAGUUUGCAGCUUGCUCUGUGGGCUCACUGACCUGUACACUCAGAGUGGUAUUUUUCAUUUACUGGCCAUGUAGUAUGGCUUGAUUUACAAUGUGCAGCUUCAGGUGCCAACCCUGCCAAAGAACGUAAUCAGUGUGGAGUAGUCAGAAAAGCCACAUGGCAUGGCCAGAAAGCAGGCCCUUUUCUUUCUACAAAAGGCCCAUGGUGCAGAGUGCUCCCUGAAGAGCCCGAGCACUCUCAGCUUCCACCUUUGCUCCUCAGCAAGGGAGGUCUGUCCCUUCUGCAUUCAGCCUGGAGAUGAGGCUCUUGCAACACUAACUGCUUUGCUUUUUGCUUUGUUGUCUUGAGUCCUCCAGAGAAAAUUCCAAGUGGAGACAGCUUGUGGUCAUGAAUUAUACAAUUCCCUGCUUUCACAUUAGGACUCUACAGCAGCCAUGGAAAACCAAGGCUGACAGUUCAAAGUAACUCUCCUGUGUAUCUUUUGUUGCAAACAUGGGAUGUUAGGUACUGGAGUGGGCUGUUGAACUGAAUAAAUAGGUGCUUUUAGAUGCCAAGUUCCUACAAUAGCAUUUGAGGAUGCUAUUUAGUAAUUAAUUCUGUGAAUAAUAAGGCAUUGCUCAAAGCAUUUAAAAGUCUACAUAGUAACCUGGGAAUGAGGACUUUGAGAGAGACUUGCAGCAAUAAUCAUAAAUGUCAGCUCUGUUUUGGGCAGGAGGGCAGUGGAGCAGUGCCAGCUGAUAAGCUCUGCUUUUGUUUUUGCAAUGUUUACCAUGUUGGUUUGGGUUGCCAGGCUGAAAUUUAAGAAUAAAUCAUCCGGUUAUAAUGGAUGUAUUUUCAUUAUGGAACAAGGAGUCUCAAGUGUGUUUUACUCAUGUAUUAUUUACACAAAUGGAUGAACAAAUAAGUGGUCUACUACAGUGUGCAAAACCCAGGAUAACUGCACAACUUAAAACCAGCUCCAGACAAAGCCUCCACUGUCCUGCGGUUGCCAAGGCAAGACUAAAAUUUCAAGUUAUUGGAAAAGUGUAACCACGUGCCAUGUUCAUUUUAAGCACUGGGAGACUGCUGGACACAAAAGUGCCAAAUGUCUGUGUACUGAGAGGCCUUUCAAGUGUCUUCAGGAUGGACAUUAAGGUCCUUUCCAUUUCUAAACAGUCCAGGAGACACGGUCUCGAUGUGAGAACUGAGCAAUGACCGCAGAAGGAGAAGAUGCUUACAUUUGUCUGCCAAUGACGGGAAACAGGGGUAUUAUGCCAAAACCACCUCUUUGUGUAACAGUGGUUGAGGCUAAUGCUAUUUGAGGAAGCCAUGUGUAAUUAUUCCCAAUUAUUCCCCUUUUUUCCAAAUAUUCAUGGAAGUGUUUCCCCCUUUUUGUUUUAUCUGUGCAUUAAAUGUAUAUUGUACCAGGGAACUCUAUAUGUGCAUUCAGUUAAAGUCAGCUGGGAAUUGUUUCUGUGUGUUUUCCAAGAUUUCACAUAUAAAACCCUGAAGAAGAAAUCUCUGCAAUACUUUCUGAAAAGCCCAUAAAGACAAGACUAUAAACUGCUUUUUGUGGGAGACAUUGGCUGGUGUGCAAUGGGCAAAGCAGGGAGCACCCAGGAACAACCCCAGUGCCUCUUCAGAGAGCUGGAUCCUGACCGUGCCUCUGCCAGCGAUGUGAUGUGAAUGCCUUUCAGUCAAGCAUUUUCCCACUCACAUGCUCCUUGUUUUCUGGAGAGCUGAGCUGUGACUCAAGGCCUGCAUGCUAAGAAAUGAAACUCUGGUCAGUGGGAGAUGGGUGGCUUUGGACUGUGCAUGUAAAAUGCUGUUUAAUACCAACUACUCAAAGAUCCAACCCUGGGUUUCUCAACCUGAGAACUUGGAAUUUGUGGAUAACCCUCAGCUCUUUGUCUUCUCAGCUUUUCCUGCCACCUGUGAAAUGGGAGAAUGUGCUCUUGACAGAAAGAACUUCAGGUGAAGAAACUGACAUGAUAAUGAUGGGAUCCAACUGGUGGCCAGACCAGGGCUUAACUACCUCACUUAUGCAUCAAGGGGUGAACUCUGAGCAGCAAGAAGAGAGCAAUGUGCUAACUUGCUGCUCAUGAGCUGAGUGCCUUCAGGGUGAAUGAGGAAAUAAACAGCCUGGCUUUAAGCCAUCAUGAUCCAUGGGCAAGUGGGGAGCUGAGAACUCAAGUUGUUCCUUGACAUCACCAGCAAAUCAGGACAUGUCACUACCAUUGCUUGAUCAGUCAGACCCACACUGGAAUCCUAGGUGCCAUUCUGGAAUCAGCAUCUUUUUGAAAGGAUGGGAAAAGAUAUCAGAAAAAAGGCUCCUGAUGGGGUGUCCACUUCAGUAGUAACCAGUGAACUCUGAUUGCUGCCGGAACAAUUCAAGGACAGACUGGACUGUCUGGGCAACCCACAUUUAGAAUGGACUUUCCUAACAUCAAUCUAAUAAUAAUCCAGAAGGACAACAUCAAGCAAGGCAGCUAAGAGAAUACAAGACUUAAGUCCUUUUUUCAGCUUUUCAUCUGUUGUCUGUGGUGACAAAGCCUGUUGGUUCAUGCAUCCAUUGCUGCUUGUAAGUGCACAAUCAAAUGAGCUUGAUGAUCUAAACUAGUAUUUAUUAAACUUUUUGCAAGCCUGACA